GAAGAUGAUGAUUCCACAAAUUCAAAACGAAAUAAGGGUUAUGGCCCAAACAGUGUGCCAUCGACCUCAACUUACGAGAUUUCUGAUAAAAUGGCACCACAUCAUUCAGAAAUAGUAGUUUCUGCUGGAGGAGUCUCAGGACAAAAACGCAAACUAGAAGUUCUCUGGAGUUGCUCCGCCCUAAACGUGAUACUUCGAAGCCUGAUAUAACGCCCGGAGCGACGACAUUUCAUUGCAUGUUUGAGAAAAAAUUGUUAUUUUCUCAAACAUACUUCGAAAUGUAUGCGUUAAUAUCAUGAAAUGAAGACAUGAAGUUGCUCAUUUGCUCGUCUCAACAAGAUCUUUGACACAAGAUAGUACUCAGGGUCUGAUGAUGGAGCC